CACAAAUGAGAGCAUUGGUGGUGGUGAAAAUCACAGACCAGACAAAUGACCUGAGCGCGUGUGGGGUUAGAAGCAAGGUCCCAGCCCUGGGUUCUAGGGCAUGUCAAGGUCUAGAAAAGGAGGGGGAAUUCAAAACAGAGAGGAAGAUGUAACCAGUGAGGUGGAAGGAAAAACAGAGUCAGCAGUUAUUCUGCAAACGAAGAAGCAAGGAGGUGCUCAAGACAGAGGGAACCAUCAACCACGUCAGCGGCUGUGGGAACUUUAGCAAGUGCUUUGCUGUGCCUGCGAUUCCCCUUACGUGCUACGAUAUGAGCGCUAUGAAAACUAAUGAGGUUUGAAAUUCAUCUUUUCAAAAUUUGGAAGAUCCUGUUCCCCAAAGAAUGUCUCAGAGAUUAUAACCAGGGUUCUGGGAUCUGCCUCUAAGUUCUUUCUAGACUCUUUAAGACCUUGUCUAAACUGGGGAGGGGGCAACUGGCAUAGAAGAGGCAGCUUCAUGGGAGCAGUCAGCGGUGAUUGCCUGAGGGAGGCAUUGAGCUGGCAGGAUUCUUAAACCUUCUCCAAGUCAUGCCAUUCGCCCUGGGCCAUGAUCUGUCACUGGCUCCCAUGAAAAGAGUGGUUGUGUGGGAACUUAGUGUUUCCAAUCUAGAGCUAGGUGGUUUUUGUCUUUGAGUUUGUUUGUUUGUUUGUUUUCUUUUACUAUUUCUUUACCCCUCUAAGCCUUAUUUUCCUUCAGUGCAUCUUUUGUUUUUACUCUUUUUCAUUUUGGAGAUCUUUCGUAUAAAGGGAUAAAAUUGAAGAAAAAUUGGAAGUAAUUAGUUCUGUUGUUUAUUAGUUGUUGUUAUGUUGGACAAGUUGCUUAACCCUACUUUAUAGUGUUCAACUUAAUUUUUUCUUAGGCUAAUUUUCUGUAGUUGUGACUAUACCAUCUCAGUCUUCUUAAGUUCUCUUUCUGUCCAUGGAUUCAAUCAAAGGCACUUAUUACCCUUUUAAAAACAUUUUUAUUGCCAUAGUUUAUUUUUCCUCAGUUUUAUUGAGAUAUAAUUGACAUAUAACAUUGUGUUAGUCCAAGAUGUAAAACAUAAUGAUUGAUAUAUGCAUAUAUUGCAAAAUGACUGCCACAC